rnacentral:rRNA from 1 species
UACGUAGGGUGCAAGCGUUAAUCGGAAUUACUGGGCGUAAAGCGUGCGCAGGCGGCUCUAUAAGUCAGAUGUGAAAUCCCCGGGCUCAACCUGGGAACUGCAUUUGUGACUGUAGAGCUGGAGUACGGCAGAGGGGGAUGGAAUUCCGCGUGUAGCAGUGAAAUGCGUAGAUAUGCGGAGGAACACCGAUGGCGAAGGCAAUCCCCUGGGCCUGUACUGACGCUCAUGCACGAAAGCGUGGGGAGCAAACAGG